rnacentral:rRNA from 1 species
UAAACGAUGGGUGCUAGUUUUCUCGGGCUUUGACCCCUUCGGUUCCGUAGCUAACGCAUUAGGCACCCCGCCUGGGGAGUACGGCCGCAAGGCUAAACCUCAAAGGAAUUGACGGGGGCCCGCACAAGCGAUGGAGCAUGUGGUUUAAUUCGAUGCAACGCGAAGAACCUUACCUGGGCUAGAAUACACGGGAAUCUGGCGGAAACGUCGGGGUGCCCUUCGGGGAACGCGUGGUUAGGUGCUGCAUGGCUGUCGUCAGCUCGUGUCGUGAGAUGUUGGGUUAAGUCCCGCAACGAGCGCAACCCUUGUCGCUAGUUACCAGCGAGUCAUGUCGGGAACUCUAGCGAGACUGCCGAUAUUAAAAUCGGAGGAAGGUGGGGAUGACGUCAAGUCAUCAUGGCCCCUAUGUCCAGGGCUACACACGUGCUACAAUGGUCGGUACAAAGGGUCGCCAGCCAGUGAUGGUGAGCUAAUCCCAAAAAGCCAACCUCAGUACAGAUAGGAGUCUGCAACCCGACUCCUUGAAGUCGGAAUCGCUAGUAAUCGCUGAUCAGCAGGCAGCGGUGAAUACGUUCCCGGGCAUUGUACACACCGCCCGUCACACCAUGGGAGUUGUUUGCUCCAGAAGUGGCCGAGCCAACCCGCNAAGGGAAGCAGGUCCCCNAAGGAGUGAAUGAUGAC